GCGGGGUCAUGUAUGGUGGCAAUGUUGGUCUUGGAUACUUGAAUGCCAUCUCCAGUGGAUCUCUGACUAAUAACAGAUUGAUCAUGUUGAAGAUAGGCAAUGAAAGUCCAACCAAUGUUCCUCCAAUGAUUAUCGCCGCGUGUUUGUUUCUUCUCGUGGCCCAGUAAGUUAAAUCUAAGAGCAUAGCCGAAGGUAUCCAAACUGGAGUUACGAUGAAGUCGUAUGGAUAACCCAAAGCAAACCAUGCACCCUUUGCCACCCAAGUGUAGAUUGUCAUGAUUGUAGCGUAAUAUGUUGCAGUUCCUGGAACACCUGUGAACAGCAUAUAGUAUAUUGCACCCACUACAAGCAUAGUUGAUUGGGAUAUUGAAAAUACUACGAAUGAUGUCCAUGCCCAAUC
rnacentral:misc_RNA from 1 species